GGGGGAAACCGUUUCUUCAGUGCUGCUCCAGACCUCUGCGUUUUGCCGGGCCAUUUGCCAGCCGUUUUUGAAAGUAAUGGCCCUCUGUGAGUCAUGGGGGACGUCCAGAUGCUGUCUAAGAGUUUCAACAACAUGAAUAUGUCAGAGGAGGUAUGCCAAAAUGGAAGAGAUGACUGGAAAAAGGGAGGAAAUCCGUGUCAGGAAAGAGAUCUGCCUGCUGUCAGUGAGGAAACGGGAGUUAAAGCCCUGUGUUCCAGUUUCUUUCUCUGGGUGCUGGCUGAUGGUGACCCGAGGAUCGG